UGGAGCCCACGUACCUGGAGCCGUAGGGGGCUGAGUUAUCCUGCAAGGUUAAGACCAGCAAUAAUUAGGGUUGCAGAAAAGGAAUAAAAGCAAGUUCUCU